rnacentral:misc_RNA from 1 species
ACGAAUUUAAGUUUUUUGGGGGGAUAGGGUAGGAUACUACCGUAGUUUUUCCCUUUAACCUUAUGUGAACAAUGGAUAUUGUUGGGAGUGGAGACACUGUGAAUCAUGAUGGUUAUUAUUAUUCUAUUUGGAAUAGACUAAAA